CUUAAGGUCUUAUUUAAGACCAUCAAACACACCUCGAAGCAAAAUUG
rfam:Oryctes borbonicus contig7905, whole genome shotgun sequence.